GUGGGGAAUUUUUCGCAAUGGGGGAAACCCUGACGAAGCAACGCCGCGUGGAGGAUGAAGGUCUUCGGAUUGUAAACUCCUGUCGACCGGGACGAAAGCGAUAGAACCCAAUACGUUCUGUUGUUGACUGUACCGGUGGAGGAAGCCACGGCUAACUCUGUGCCAGCAGCCGCGGUAAUACAGAGGUGGCAAGCGUUGUUCGGAAUUACUGGGCGUAAAGGGCGCGUAGGCGGCCCUCUAAGUCCCGUGUGAAAGCCCCCGGCUCAACCGGGGAACUGCACGGGAAACUGGAAGGCUUGAGUUCGGGAGAGGGAAGCGGAAUUCCGGGUGUAGCGGUGAAAUGCGUAGAUAUCCGGAGGAACACCGGUGGCGAAGGCGGCUUCCUGGACCGACACUGACGCUGAGGCGCGAAAGCUAGGGGAGCAAACGGGAUUAGAAACCCGGGUAGUCC
rnacentral:rRNA from 1 species